rnacentral:tRNA from 1 species
UGGCGCGUAGCUCAGUUGGUAGAGCGCGGNGCUGUUAACUCUGUGGUCGUAGGUUCGAGUCCUACCGCGCCAG